CCUUUCGUUCUCCCUCGGUGGGGCAACCUGCCGUUGGAACCUAUCAAAACCUUUUUUUGCAUUUAGCAUUACCUGUUCUGAUACAAACAAUCGUUACAACUUUCAACAAUGGAUCUCUUGGCUCUGGCAUCGAUGAAGAACGCAGCGAAAUGCGAUAAGUAGUGUGAAUUGCAGAAUUCAGUGAAUCAUCGAAUCUUUGAACGCACAUUGCGCCCCUUGGUAUUCCAUGGGGCAUGCCUGUUCGAGCGUCAUCUACACCCUCAAGCUCUGCUUGGUGUUGGGCGUCUGUCCCGCCUCUGCGCGCGGACUCGCCCCAAAUUCAUUGGCAGCGGUCCUUGCCUCCUCUCGCGCAGCACAUUGCGCUUCUCGAGGUGCGCGGGCCGCGUCCACGAAGCAACAUUACCGUCUUUGACCUCGGAUCAGGUAGGGAUACCCGCUGAACUUAAGCAUA
rnacentral:rRNA from 1 species